AACAUCACUUGUGCUAACUUUUUCACAACACAUGGGCUUGUUGAGCUGCUGAAAAGAAAGCUCACCAUGGUGGGGACAGUGAGGAAGAAGAAGCCUCAACUUCCCCCUGCACUGGUUUCGACCGGAGGGAGAAAUGCACUCGCAUCCAAAUUUGCUUUCAGUGACACACACAGUCUUGUGUCAUAUUUGCCCAAGAAAAAUAAGUAUGUCAUUCUGAUGAGCACUCAACACAAAUACGCGACUGUCAGCAAAGCAGAGCACAGGAAACCCCAGAUCAUCCUGGACUACAACAGAAAUAAAGGAGGCGUUGACUGUCUUGAUAAGCUUACUGGUACAUACACCUGCAAGUGAAUGACAGCUCGUUGGCCUGUGGCAUUGUUCCACAACAUCCUGUCAGCAUGCAAAACAGGGGCAGAAACUGAAGAGAUGCGAGCUCUGUGCAAGUCUUACAUGUUUCAAAUGUGAUGCAUAUGUUUGCAAGGCACACUGCGACCUGAUUGCAAAAUGCCACUCCUGUGUUUGAACACACACACACACACACACACACACACACACACACACACACACACACACACACACACACACACCACACACACACACACACACACCACACACACACACACAGACACGAUGUGUUCAUGUUGAUGUUCUGUGAAUUUGGUCUCUGUUUUGAUUUUUCUCUUUUUUUUUUACAAUAAAUGUUAAUUUUGGAAUACAACUUUCAAUUUCUGUGUCUAUUCACUGCAGUUAUUCAUGUAAACCAGUAGUCUGAGACAUUGUUUACAGGUUAAAAGGGAGUUCAAUAAAAUUUGGUAAUGAUCAUUGUUUUUUUUGUUAUUGUAAGGGCAGUUAAAACAGGCCGGUCAAAUUUGACCGGGAGCACCAUAGUAAGGGGGGAGAACCGAAGUAACACGACACAAGAGCAGAGUUCAUAUACCACGUGAGUAGAAUUUUGUGAACUUAACACACGUAAGAAAUGUUUUAUUACCGUACAAAAUCAUUUCAAAUGACUUUAACAUAUGUUAACCGUAUAUUAUUACAUGAACACUGACCUUGUGCCUCUUCGGCAGGUGCUAAAACAAUUAAAUAUUUAAACUGUAUCGCUAUCUUUGUGUCUUUGUUAACGUUUCUGUUGCGUUCUGUUCUUCUCCUUCGUUCGCGCCAGGAACCCGCUCUCAAUACAGCACAUUAUUUCAACAUAAAAGUCCUUCCAACAAGGCAGAAUAUAAGGCAUUAUAAAUUCACCAAAAAAUAAAAGCUCAUAAUAAUUAUAGCUCAUGAAUACUCAAUAGUGCUGUGUUUUCUUGAGAACUAAUUUAGAAAUCGGGUCCUUUACAUUAAUUAUAGAAAAUAAUUUCUUCUCUUUCUUACAAUUAUUUUUUCUUUCUAAGUAGCUCCUAGCAGCAGGACCAGUUUCUGCACAGGACGCUCCAACAAAGAGAGCUUACUCAAACGCUCACCCUUUUCGCUCAGUCUCUUAUCUCCAACAGAGAUUUUUGCUCUUCUUACAAGUCCAUCCUUUCCCUUGACAGUCUCUAUGACUCUUGCAAGUUUCCACUCACCUCUAGGGGACAGUUCAUGUUGUCCAUGACAACAUCACCUACUUGCAAGUUUAUUUUCUUAUGCCAUUUCUGUCUUGCCAAGAUGCUAUGCAGAUAUUUUUGUUUCCAGCGGCUCCAGAACUGCUCCGCUAAAUGUUGCUCCCUUCGCCAUCUCUUUGCUCUGUAUACGUCCUCUCUGGGGAAUGGGCCGGGCGGAGGCAGUGCUGGGCCGGUCUACAUUUAGAUGAGGUGAUUGGUGGUCAAAGGCUCCAGACUAUCAGGACUGAACAAGGUGUCUACAGUGAGGGGUCUU
rnacentral:lncRNA from 1 species